AAUGAACGUUGGCGGCGUGGAUUAGGCAUGCAAGUCGUGCGGAAAGGCUCCUUCGGGAGUACUCGAGCGGCGAAAGGGAGAGUAACGCGUGGAUAUCUACCCCCUGGCCUGGGAUAGCGGCGGGAAACUGCCGGUAAUACCAGAUAAUGUCUGCGGACCAAAGGUGUGAUUCCGUCGGGGGAUGAGUUCGCGUCCUAUUAGCUAGUUGGUAGGGUAAUGGCCUACCAAGGCACAAAUGGGUACCGGGUGUGAGAGCAUGGCCCGGCUCACUGGGACUGAUACACUGCCCAGCCACCUACGGGUGGCUGCAGUCGAGAAUCUUCGGCAAUGGGCGCAAGCCUGACCGAGCGACGCCGCGUGCGGGAUGAAGGCCUUCGGGUUGUAAACCGCUGUCAGAGGGGAGGAAAUGCGUAGGAGUUCUCUCUUACGUUUGACCUAUCCUCAGAGGAAGUACGGGCUAAGUUCGUGCCAGCAGCCGCCGUAAAAC
rnacentral:rRNA from 1 species